CAGGAUGUAUAUCAAUUGGUAGAUUACUUGCUUUGGGAGCAAGAGGUUGCAAGUUCAAGUCUUGCCAUCCUGA
rnacentral:tRNA from 1 species